rnacentral:RNase_P_RNA from 2 species
AAAAACGGGAAAUUGCGGUACUGCAUUAUUGCAGUAUUGAGGAAAGUCCAGGCUGCCACGACCUGAGAUGGUCGUAAUGUUCGUGCUCAUCGCAAGGUGAGGCAGAGCAAAUGCUCUGACGACGGCAAAAUCGACUCUCGUAGCCGAAAGUAGCCAUAAAGUGCACAGAGAAUGAGUAGGCUGGCGACAGCCUAGUGAAAAGUGGUAAACUCCACGAGGCAGAAACCCGAAUUUUGGUAGGGGAGCUUCCUAGAGGGAAUUAAACCAAAGGGAAGAACGCAUUAGUGCGUUAGAUAAAUAAUUUCCUAAAACAGAAACUGGCUUAUGGUU